UACGUAGGGUGCAAGCGUUGUCCGGAAUUAUUGGGCGUAAAGAGCUCGUAGGCGGUUUGUCGCGUCUGCUGUGAAAAUCCGAGGCUCAACCUCGGACUUGCAGUGGGUACGGGCAGACUAGAGUGUGGUAGGGGAGACUGGAAUUCCUGGUGUAGCGGUGGAAUGCGCAGAUAUCAGGAGGAACACCGAUGGCGAAGGCAGGUCUCUGGGCCAUUACUGACACUGAGAAGCGAAAGCAUGGGGAGCGAACAGG
rnacentral:rRNA from 1 species